UACGAAGGGGGCUAGCGUUGCUCGGAAUCACUGGGCGUAAAGCGCACGUAGGCGGAUUGCUAAGUCAGGGGUGAAAUCCUGGAGCUCAACUCCAGAACUGCCCUUGAUACUGGCGGUCUCGAGUCCGGGAGAGGUGAGUGGAACUGCGAGUGUAGAGGUGAAAUUCGUAGAUAUUCGCAAGAACACCAGUGGCGAAGGCGGCUCACUGGCCCGGUACUGACGCUGAGGAGCGAAAGCAUGGGGAGCGAACAGG
rnacentral:rRNA from 1 species